rnacentral:rRNA from 1 species
AGUGGGGGAUAACACAUCGAAAGAUGUGCUAAUACCGCAUAUGCCCUGAGGGGGAAAGGGGGGGAUCCGCAAGGACCUCUUGCUUUCGGAGUGGCCGAUAUCGGAUUAGCUAGUUGGUGAGGUAAAGGCUCACCAAGGCGACAAUCCGUAGCUGGUCUGAGAGGACGACCAGCCACACUGGAACUGAGACACGGUCCAGACUCCUACGGGAGGCAGCAGUGGGGAAUUUUGGACAAUGGGCGCAAGCCUGAUCCAGCCAUACCGCGUGAGUGAAGAAGGCCUUCGGGUUGUAAAGCUCUUUCAGCCGGAAAGAAAUCGCACUUAUUAACACUGAGUGUGGAUGACGGUACCGGAAGAAGAAGCACCGGCUAACUACGUGCCAGCAGCCGCGGUAAUACGUAGGGUGCGAGCGUUAAUCGGAAUUACUGGGCGUAAAGCGUGCGCAGGCGGCUUUUUAAGCCAGAUGUGAAAUCCCCGGGCUUAACCUGGGAACUGCAUUUGGAACUGGAAGGCUAGAGUGUAGAAGAGGGGGGUAGAAUUCCA